rnacentral:other from 1 species
UGUCUCCUGGAAUGUGCGCCAGCUGGUGUCGUCCUUGAGCCGUUAGAGAAGAAAUAGGGGACUUCGUCGCCGACGACGGUGUGCGAGCCCAACGCGCCAACGCACCUUCGGGUGCCGGCGCUCGGGAAGCCUUAGGCGUCGCCCGGGUCUCCGCCUUGAGCCAUAACGGUUCAGGGCAAACCAUGCAGCGGCAUUUCGGGAGACUU